AACGAACGCUGGCGGCAGGCUUAACACAUGCAAGUCGAACGGGUGUAGCAAUACAUCAGUGGCAGACGGGUGAGUAACACGUGGGAACCUUCCUAGGGGUACGGAACAACUCAGGGAAACUUGAGCUAAUACCGUAUACGUCCGUGAGGAGAAAGAUUUAUCGCCCUUAGACGGGCCCGCGUCGGAUUAGCUAGUUGGUGGGGUAACGGCCUACCAAGGCGACGAUCCGUAGCUGAUCUUAGAGGAUGAUCAGCCACACUGGGACUGAGACACGGCCCAGACUCCUACGGGAGGCAGCAGUGGGGAAUUUUGGACAAUGGGCGCAAGCCUGAUCCAGCCAUGCCGCGUGAGUGAAGAAGGUCUUCGGAUUGUAAAGCUCUUUUGCCAGGGACGAUAAUGACGGUACCCGGAGAAUAAGCCCCGGCAAACUUCGUGCCAGCCGCCGCAGUAAUAC
rnacentral:rRNA from 1 species